rnacentral:rRNA from 1 species
GAUGAACGCUGGCGGCGUGCCUAAUACAUGCAAGUCGAACGCAUUGUGGUUGAAAUGAUAUGAAGAACUUGUUCAGAUUUGAUUUUCAACAUUGCAAUGAGUGGCGAACGGGUGAGUAACACGUGGGAAACCUACCUCUUAGCAGGGGAUAACAUUUGGAAACAAAUGCUAAUACCGUAUAAUAAUUAAAACCGCAUGGUUUUAGUUUAAAAGAUGGUCUUGCUAUCACUAAGAGAUGGUCCCGCGGUGUAUUAGUUAGUUGGUGAGGUAAUGGCUCACCAAGACAAUGAUUCAUAGCCGAGUUGAGAGACUGACCGGCCACAAUGGGACUGAGACACGGCCCAUACUCCUACGGGAGGCAGCAGUAGGGAAUCUUCCACAAUGGACGAAAGUCUGAUGGAGCAACGCCGCGUGUGUGAUGAAGGUUUCGGCGUCGUAAAACACUGUUGUAAGAGAAGAAUGACAUUGAGAGUAACUGUUCAAUGU